rnacentral:tRNA from 1 species
GGCGCUAUAGCAUAAUUGGGAUUGUGAGGGUUUGCAAAACUUUUUAGUAUGGGUUCAAAUCCCAUUAGCGCAU